rnacentral:pre_miRNA from 1 species
ACUUGUCAGCUCUGCAACAAGAAAGGGCACUUUGCCACUGUUUGUAGAAGCUCUUCUAAAUCUACAAAUUCUGUGGUAGUAGGUACUGAAGAUC